rnacentral:rRNA from 1 species
UGGGGAAUUUUGGACAAUGGGCGAAAGCCUGAUCCAGCAAUGCCGCGUGUGUGAAGAAGGCCUUCGGGUUGUAAAGCACUUUUGUCCGGAAAGAAAUCCUUGGCUCUAAUACAGUCGGGGGAUGACGGUACCGGAAGAAUAAGCACCGGCUAACUACGUGCCAGCAGCCGCGGUAAUACGUAGGGUGCAAGCGUUAAUCGGAAUUACUGGGCGUAAAGCGUGCGCAGGCGGUUUGCUAAGACCGAUGUGAAAUCCCCGGGCUCAACCUGGGAACUGCAUUGGUGACUGGCAGGCUAGAGUAUGGCAGAGGGGGGUAGAAUUCCACGUGUAGCAGUGAAAUGCGUAGAGAUGUGGAGGAAUACCGAUGGCGAAGGCAGCCCCCUGGGCCAAUACUGACGCUCAUGCACGAAAGCGUGGGGAGCAAAACAGGAUUAGAUACCCUGGUAGUCCACGCCCUAAACGAUGUCAACUAGUUGUUGGGGAUUCAUUUCCUUAGUAACGUAGCUAACGCGUGAAGUUGACCGCCUGGGGGAGUACGGUCGCAAGAUUAAAACUCAAA